CUCUCUUGAGUGGAUCCUGAGUACGACGGAGCACGUGAAAUUCCGUCGGAAUCUGGGAGGACCAUCUCCUAAGGCUAAAUACUCUCUAGUGACCGAUAGUGAACCAGUACCGUGAGGGAAAGGUGAAAAGCACCCCGGAAGGGGAGUGAAAUAGAACCUGAAACCGUGUGCUUACAAGUAGUCAGAGCCCGUUAAUGGGUGAUGGCGUGCCUUUUGUAGAAUGAACCGGCGAGUUACGAUUUGAUGCAAGGUUAAGCAGUAAAUGUGGAGCCGUAGCGAAAGCGAGUCUGAAUAGGGCGUUUAGUAUUUGGUCGUAGACCCGAAACCAGGUGAUCUACCCUUGGUCAGGUUGAAGUUCAGGUAACACUGAAUGGAGGACCGAACCGACUUACGUUGAAAAGUGAGCGGAUGAACUGAGGGUAGCGGAGAAAUUCCAAUCGAACCUGGAGAUAGCUGGUUCUCUCCGAAAUAGCUUUAGGGCUAGCCUCAAGUGAUGAUUAUUGGAGGUAGAGCACUGUUUGGACGAGGGGCCCCUCUCGGGUUACCGAAUUCAGACAAACUCCGAAUGCCAAUUAAUUUAACUUGGGAGUCAGAACAUGGGUGAUAAGGUCCGUGUUCGAAAGGGAAACAGCCCAGACCACCAGCUAAGGUCCCAAAAUAUAUGUUAAGUGGAAAAGGAUGUGGCGUUGCCCAGACAACUAGGAUGUUGGCUUAGAAGCAGCCAUCAUUUAAAGAGUGCGUAAUAGCUCACUAGUCGAGUGACACUGCGCCGAAAAUGUACCGGGGCUAAACAUAUUACCGAAGCUGUGGAUUGUCCUUUGGACAAUGGUAGGAGAGCGUUCUAAGGGCGUUGAAGCAUGAUCGUAAGGACAUGUGGAGCGCUUAGAAG
rnacentral:rRNA from 1 species